GUUGAACACUGAGUGUUUAAGUGUAAAUCCUAUAUAAUUUUAAUUAUAAAGAUUGCAACGAAAGCAGGAAAUACC
rnacentral:misc_RNA from 1 species